UCUCCUUAUUUUAAAUAUUUGUGUGUUUAAAUAAAAAUCAAAGUCACCACAUUUAAACUCUAUUUAUUAUGUAAUAAAAGAAAAAAAUGUUUGAGGUAACUCAUCUAUUUAAUUUCUACUAAUAAUAUUUGUAACUCUCAAGCUAUUCAUGAUUUUAUAUUUAUAACCCCUAAAUAUUUAAUACAAAAGUUAAUGAUACCUUAUGGUAUUUCUUUAUUUUUAUGUAUAUAAAUUCAUAUUUUUUGUUUCAUGAGAUGCUAUC
rnacentral:lncRNA from 1 species